CCUACGGGAGGCAGCAACAGGGAAUAGUGCGCAAUGGACGAAAGUCUGACGCUGUGACGCCGCGUGCAGGAGGAAGGCCCUCGGGUCGUAAACUGCUUUUAUGAGUGAUGAUUUUGACAGUAGCUCAUGAAUAAGGGUCUGCUAACUACGUGCCAGCAGCCGCGGUCAUACGUAGGACCCAAGCGUUAUCCGGAAUUACUGGGCGUAAAGAGUUGCGUAGGUGGACCGUUAGGUUUCGGUUAAAAUCUUAAGGCUCAACCUUAAGCUUGGUCGAAAAACUGGCGGACUAGAGCAUAGGAGAGGUAGCUGGAAUUCCCAGUGUAGGAGUGAAAUCCGUAGAUAUUGGGAGGAACACCGAUGGCGUAGGCAGGCUACUAGCCUAUUGCUGACACUAAGGCACGAAAGCGUGGGGAGCGAACGGGAUUAGAUACCCGGGUAGUC
rnacentral:rRNA from 1 species